CCCCGGGCACGGCCGGGCGCGGGGUCGCUCGAGUGGCGGGAGCGGCCGGACGUGGGGUUGUCCACUCGCCUGCGGGUGUGGAGCCUCCGGUCAGCCCGCCCGAGCCCGCUGCUGCCGCUCCUUCCUCUCCCGGCGGCACAGCCCUCCUCAGGGUGGCGGCCGGUGGGAGCAGCUCCGUGCCGAUGCUGCUGCCGGCCUGGGAACUGUGCCUCUACGGGCUCCUGACCGUGGGCUCCCACCUCUACGCUUUCUACGAAGCGCACCAAGUGUCCCGAAAGUAUGAAGCUGCAAUGGACAGAAGGUUUGGGCUGGACCCAGGGACUCUCUUCCGGGGGCUAAAAAAGGACCCCAUGGACUUUGAGUGGAGCUACUGGGUUGAAUGGGGAAGGGAACGUAUACUGUGGCUUCUGGCUGGUCACCUGUUGGUAUCACAAAUGUCCAGGCUCUUGGUGGAGAAGUAUAAACCGUGGUGCUUGAUGGUUUAUGGAAUGGCUGCCUGCUGGUUGUUACUGGGAAUCAAAGGCUUUGCUGUCAUUUUGUUACAUGCAGCUAUUUCCUUUGCUGUGGCUCAGUUUCAGCUGUCACUCCUGACAUGGUUGUGCUCCCUCAUCCUUCUGGCCACUUUACGCAUACCAGCUGUGGAAGAAACCAAGAGAAGGUGGUAUGACACUGAGAAUGAAUAUUAUCUGCUGCUCUUCACUGUGUCUGUCCGCUGCCUCUUCUGCACUAGCUUCUGCCUGGAGUACUGCUGGCAUGCACCUACCCAGAAGUCAUCCCACUCAUUCCCCUGGAUGCUGGCAUAUGUGUUUUACUAUCCUACAUUCCACAAUGGACCCCUUGUGAAUUUUGAUGAAUUCAGUAAACAGAUGAGGAGACAAGAAGCUUUCAGUGUGAAGACCAAUCUCAUCAUCUUAAUUGUGGGCAUAAUUCGUAUUUUCUUUUGGUGGUGCCUGGCUGAGCUGAUGAUUCACCUCAUGUAUAUCCAUGCUCUCUACAGUAGUGCUCUGCCUUUGGAAUCUGCAUCUUACUGGGCCUUGGGUGGCCUGGCUUUAGCUCAAGUACUUUUUUUUUAUGUGAAAUAUCUGGUUCUGUAUGGUGUUCCUGGCCUCCUCCUUCAAAUGGAUGGACUCAAACCUCCAGCUCUGCCUUGCUGUGUGAGCCUGAUGCACAGUUUCACUAAAAUGUGGAGAAGUUUUGACGUUGGGCUGCAUCGCUUUCUGGUCAGGUACAUUUAUGUUCCAAUGGGAGGAUCUCAGUCCAGUUUGCUUGGAACACUAUUAUCUACAGCCCUCACUUUUGCCUUCGUAAGCUACUGGCAUGGAGGACAGAGUUAUUUGUGGUACUGGGGUGCACUUAAUUGGCUUGGAGUAAUUGUGGAGAAUGGCACCAAGAGGAUACUUUCCAUUUCAUUUAUACAAGAUUUAAUUGAACGUUUCUUCUCGCCAAGAUUUCAGCGUCGACUUCAUGCUGUCCUAGCAUCUGUUAGCACUUCAAUGCUGAUUUUAUCAAAUCUAAUAUUUCUUGGAGGAAAUCAAGUUGGAAAAAUCUACUGGAACAGGAUCUUUAUGGAAGGCUGGCCAUGGGCGACACUGACUGUUCUUGGGUUCCUGUACUGCUAUUCUCAUGUUGGAAUUGAGUGGGAGCAGAAGUGUGCUGCACACUAGGAAUGAUGUUAACAAUUAUUCUUAAGGCAGGUUGAUGGUUUUUCUACACUGGAUAUUCUGUCUGCACAAAGCAUGGUGGCCUGAAGAGUCUGUUCUGGGAUGGGAUAAAAGGAAUGCUUGACCUCGGUGAGGACCGGGCUGUGGUCCUGCGGGCUUCUCGUCUCCCCGGCGUUAUCCAAGCGCAAGUCACUUUUUGUAAUGCCACUGUCACAAGAGUCCGUCUUCUUCAGGGUAGCUUCUCCUGAAGCUUUAGUUCUCUCAGGUAAAGUCUCCAUGGACUCUGCUUUAGAGACCUUGUUCCAGUCUUCACCCUUCCCACAGGCUUCCUUGAACUUGGCCCAGCCUUUGCGGCGCGGGUAGUCCCCCGAGGCCUUGCCCGCCGCGUGCUCCGCCGGCGGGGCCUGCAGCUUGGCCUGGUCGGAGGCCGCGGAGGUGGAGGCGGGCUGGUACGACACCGGCGUCGCCGGGCUCUCCCGGACCGUCACCACGCUGGCCUUGACCACCGCGCGAGCGGAGGAUUGCUCCCCGACGGCAUUGCCCUUCUCCACAUCCAGCUCGUCCGGAUCGCGGCCCCUCUCCGCCGCCAGCCGCGCUUCCUUCUGCUGCCUGAACCUCUGGAACAGCCGCCGCACCGGGUGGUCCGGGGGUAAGAUCAGAGGCGCCUCGUUCUUCCUCUUCAUCCUCUCCUCUUCCUCCCGCUUGACGUCGCUGAUUUUCCGGAACACAAUCUGCAGGGGGAAAGAGAUUUCACUCUGUGAUUAACUGCACGCUUGUUAAGGGGGGAAAAGUUGGAGAAAGAAUUAUUUGAAAGAAUCUAUUUUAACUGGGAAGUGCACUACCUCUGCACAUUUAUAGCAACAUUUUCAAAUGUCUUACGUUGUGUGGAACAUGGUUUAUUUCAUUAUUUAAGAACAGAUGCCAUCUGUCUUAUAACACCAGAAAGAAAAAAAAAACCAGAAGAAAAAUACUUCUCCAGCUCUGACAGGUCAGAGCAAGGCAGUGCCAUUGUAAAUAUAAUGAUCCCAGGAAGAUAGUGGUUCUAUUUUGUGUUAAAAAGUGACUCCUUGUAUUUGUUUUCCUGACUAUAUGGUUUAGUACCAAGUUUCUAAUGUUACAGAGCCAUUGCCAUCAGUGUCACCUCAGAGCUCACUCUGAUAAAUGAUCUGAUACUAUUUUAGUGCAGCUUGGCCACUCGUGGUGCCAGUACAGCAGAGACUACUCUGGACUCUUCAACAGCAGUUUGCAAAGUGCUUCUUGCCCUCCCUUCCUCCCAUACAUCCUUUUAGAAGCAACAUGCAAUUCAAGGAUGCAAAGCUUGAGUCAAUCCCAAAGCCAGGGGCACAGGGACAAUGGGAGAUGGGCUUGGCAAGACAUGGGGUAGCUGCUCAUGUCUUGAUUACCUCAGAAGCUUGUAGAGCUUCGUGUCUUAAUUUAUCUCUUUUUUUCUAUGCAAAAGAGAACGUUUUUGCACAAAGAAGCAUUAAUUUUCCAUCUACCCUCCUAAUUAUAUCUUCCUGAGCCUCUAAGGCUAAGUGAUCUCUACAGGAGCAGCCCAAGGAUCCCACAGUACUGAAAAAAGCCUCACGGCGUCCCAGCCUGUAGCCAGACAAGGUUUCUUCCUUGCAUGUGAUGGAAAUACAUCGCCUUCAAAAACUCUGUGCAAUACUAAUUUUACAUUAGCCAUACCAAUACUAAUUUUACAUUAGUAUUGGUAUGUUCCAGGCCAACCCAAAACCUCAACUCUGGCACUAAUGAAGAACCAGUAAGUAGCCUAGUUUGAAAACGAGAGGUCCCCAAAGCUGAAGGUUGCAAUACAGAGGGUAAAAGAUGCAGCCCGCAGCUUCUACUGAACACUGAUACCUAAUCCCUUCAGCUGCUUUGGGGAAAAUCCACUUAAAGACCUUACACUUCAAUGCAGAAAUAACUUUGAGAUUCAAAUCAUUAUUAGGAAAUGUGUAAAUAAACCCAUCCCUCUGUUGCCGACAAAUUUAAAUUAAACUAAAGUUAAUAAGCACUUCUUCACUGGCACACACAAAAUGAAUGUUUCUCCAGACUCCAAUGCUUCUUGACAGUUUUGUCAUUGUGGAGCAGGGAAAAAGCCAUCUUAACAGUGCAUCUUUGGAAGGAAGAAGUUGUCAGACUUGGCAGCAUUUCCUAAAUACAAAAGAAUAAAAUUAGCAGGAAGGAUAUUUUAUUUCCAAGCUGUAAUUAGGAAACUAAAUAUGAGAUAAGAAUAAGAAAACAGGGUACUUGACAGUCUUUUUUUUCUUCCCUCCAGGAAACUCACUCUGCAAUGAGCUCAGUAGAAAGUGCACAAAGCAGGGUAGUCCUUAGAAGUGAAAGAAUAGCACUCACUGGGAAGGGAAUUCAAUGCAGUCCUGCAGGCUAAUGGCUUCCCACACACUGGCAGUUUCCCACUUUACCUGAGGGAUGAGUACCAGCCCAGGGUUAGAGCAACUGCCCCUCUUGCUCUGCUGGAGCCAAGUGAUGCCAAGCAAACUCCCAGGGGGUCACUCCAGCAGCAUCCUGAGGCUGGCUCUGGAGGCACAAAGCCCCAGCACACCAAGGCAGCUACCUGACCAAGCCAGGUCAAUUUGUCCCUGCAAAACUCUGUGUCCCCAAGCCUUCCCUCUCCUGGGGUUUUUAUGUUAGGUGUGGAUAUCCACGUGUGCCAGAUGUAGCUAACAGGGCUCACUUUGUAAAUGAACAUGUUGUCUUGGUCUGACCCUAAAUGCUCAGAAGGGAUGUAUGACGGGCUGGUGCAGUGGUCACACUCACAGGGAUCAUCAGGGAAGGCUUUUCAGACCCAGAGGCCAGGAUGCUUUGCAGAGUCAGGGCCUGGGCCAGCCCCUGCUCCACACAGCCCAAUCAGCACUUGUCCGGAAAGCACUUGAGCAUCUCUUGCUAUUUAAUGCCUGGUUUUUGCAACAUAAAUGGGUAAGUUAUUUGACAGAAGCUGUCUCUGCUACAGCACCAUGCAGGAGAGACAGCAAUGACCAAGUCUCAAGCAAACAAUCCCAUAUUAACAGCCUGGCCCAGUCCAUAUUAGCCCUAGCCACUGCACCCCUAGGAGUUAGUAGCAUGAUCUCUGUGGUGGAGGACACAAUGAAUCUACCAGGAAAUGCAGAAAGGUGAGCACUGAUGGACAAGCUGUUGGCAACACUUAUCCACCCACAGCCCCCACUGCUCUCCAUGGCAGUGCCUAGGUGAGCCCUCCUUGUGGAUGCCAGGCACACUUGGCCAUGGAGGAGCUGCCAUCAGCCUUCCCACUGUGCGGUGGCCAGCCUGAGAGACCCAAACACACCUUCCCUGCUUUGACUUUGGGAGAUCCCACUGCAGCAGGAGCAGGAGUGUGCGUAGAAGGAGAUGUAUAAAUCUUGCCUUUGCCAUGGAUACUGCUACCACACUAAUGAGACCCCUGAUUUCCAUCUUCCACAUGGCCUUAUAGACCAGCUCCAAGGGAAGUGCACCAGGGCAGCAGCCACUGCAUGAAUGCAGAAAUGCAGCCCUUGGGUCUCCCUCUCUGCCUGACAUCUUCUACAGAGAGCAUUUAUGUGGCAAGCUGUGCUCAGGUGGUGCAAGUCAAACAUACACACAUUUGUCAGGGGACAUCCUCCAGCUCUUGGGUUGGCUCCUUUUAAUUGACUCCUGAGACACUGGAGAAACAACUGUCAGAGAGCAACUUCUCUUUGGGAAGCUCAGACAAAGCUGUCACUUGUCUCCCUUUUUGUAAGUUCCCCGAUGCCGCAUUUUCUCCAGACAGCUCCAUAUUUAUGUUGUAAGCAAAAAUAUUAUAGCUGUGCAAAACUCAGCAGUAAUUGAUAAUGCAUUCAUAAACUCAAUUUUGGAUUUUUUCUGCCUUUUUUUAAGAUUAAAUGCUCCUUAUAAAUAAAAAUACACAUAACUUUAAAA